CACGCCGUAAACGAUGUCAACUAGCCGUUGGUCCUAUUUACAGGAUUAGUGGCGCAGCUAACGCAUUAAGUUGACCGCCUGGGGAGUACGGCCGCAAGGUUAAAACUCAAAUGAAUUGAC
rnacentral:rRNA from 1 species